GACGAACGCUGGCGGCGUGCUUAACACAUGCAAGUCGAGCGAGUGGAUUCCCUUCGGGGAUGAAGCUAGCGGCGGACGGGUGAGUAACACGUGGGCAACCUGCCUUAUAGAGGGGGAUAGCCUUCCGAAAGGAAGAUUAAUACCGCAUAACAUCAGAUUAUCGCAUGGUAGACUGAUCAAAGGAGCAAUCCGCUAUAAGAUGGGCCCGCGUCGCAUUAGCUAGUUGGUGAGGUAACGGCUCACCAAGGCGACGAUGCGUAGCCGACCUGAGAGGGUGAUCGGCCACAGUGGGACUGAGACACGGCCCAGACUCCUACGGGAGGCAGCAGUGGGGAAUAUUGCACAAUGGGGGAAACCCUGAUGCAGCAACGCCGCGUGAGUGAUGAAGGCCUUCGGGUUGUAAAGCUCUUUGAUCAGGGACGAUAAUGACGGUACCUGAAGAACAAGCCACGGCUAACUACGUGCCAGCCGCCGCGGUAACAC
rnacentral:rRNA from 1 species